CUUCCCAGGUGGCUCAGUGGUAAAGAAUCUGCCUGCCGAUGCAGAAGAUGCAAGAGAUGUGAUCCCUGGGUCAGGAAGAUCCCUGAGAGGGAGAAGGAAAUGGCAACCAGCUCGGGUCCAUUCCAGGUCUGCCCCGCUGUCCUCAUGUUGGUUUCGUACUCACGGUCAUAAAAUGGCCACCCCAGAUCCUGGAGUCCCAUCCACAUCAAGGAGAUGACCAUUCCCCCAGAGAAGAGGAAAGGAAGAUUCAGGAAAAUGAAGCCAGGAAGUCACCUAAGGCUACACAGCUGUAGAUGACAGAACAGGAUUUGAACCCAGGCCGUGUGGACCUGAAGUUUGCAUUUUUAACUCCUCUAUGUCAGGCCUCUGAAUGAAUGCUGAGAAAACAUGAAAAAUCAUAUUCCUGCCUCAUGCAGAACAUAAUUAUAAUUCAUAGCUGUUUUAGGGACAAUAAGUGAAGCUUAGACUUUCAUGCUUGAAUAAGCUGUAACAUGUCUCCCUAAUAUUCCUUGGAGAAUUUAGGACCGAG
ensembl:lncRNA